CAGCAACGCCGCGUGGGGAGUGACGGCCUCGGUUGUAACCUCUUUCUUGGGACGAUAAUGACGGUACCCGAGGAAUAAGUCACGGCUAACUACGUGC
rnacentral:rRNA from 1 species